ACCUGAUUGGCUCAGUUGGUAGAGCGUGCGACUCUUGAUCUCAGGGUCAUGAGUUCAAGCCCCAUGCUGGGUA
rnacentral:tRNA from 1 species